GAAUUAUCGCACAGAGGCGAGCGUAACAUCUUUGUGGGAUGUGGACUCUUCCAGACUCUUUGUCCUCCAUGGGACUCUGGUGUUAUGAUGAUUCUGACCAGCUACUCCUGCAAUCUCUAGGGAAGCAAAUGUCCCCUCGGCUGGAUCCAAUACAUGCUCUUGUUCAUCAGCAAGCGCCUGCCUAAUACGACACAUCAUCAUCUGUCUCCAGUUUUCCAGAGCCUCGGGCGGAUACUCAUUUCAUCACCUCCCCAUUUUUCCUGUUUGGAACAGAAGACUUGCCACCACACUUCUGGCUCCAGUGUUGCUCUCUGAAAGGAAGCUGGGCCAGACAUGCCACUGCUUCAGAAACUCAACACGACCUUGUUUAAUGCCA